rnacentral:rRNA from 1 species
AAACUUUCAACAACGGAUCUCUUGGCUCUUGCAUCGAUGAAGAACGCAGCGAAUUGCGAUAAGUAGUGUGAAUUGCAGAAUUCCGUGAAUCAUCGAAUCUUUGAACGCAUAUUGCACUCUUUGGUAUUCCGAAGAGUAUGCCUGUUUGAGGGUCAUUUGAAAAUUAAUCAAGACUAUUAGUUUUGGC